rnacentral:tRNA from 1 species
GCGGUCGUGGCGGAACUGGUAGACGCGCAGCGUUGAGGGCGCUGUGGCCGAGAGGCCGUGGAGGUUCGAUUCCUCUCGACCGCACCA